AUGCACAGUAGCUGUUCUUCUGAGUUGUGCUCCCUACAGGUUACCUCCGCCCUGCUUGCCGGAGCGGUCGAGGCCACAGUGAUCUGUGCUAAAGUCAUCCAAGGUCGAUGGCCCAAAAACCUGGGAAUCCGCAUUGUUGCCCGCUCCGCCAGCAUAGAUGAGGAUUUUGUACUGCUUGAUGCUCGAGAUGGGACGUUUCGUGUGGAUCUAGCCGAUGGCAUCAUCGCCCUCUGUAGACAUGUGGUAUGUGUGGAAGAAGAUGGAAGGCUGAAGCUUUGUAUAGAGGCCUACAGCAAGAGGAGUGGAUGCAUGUAUGAAAAAUCCGAUGUUACCGAGUUGGUCCCCAAGAGAUCCUCCGCCAGUCUUGGCAGAUGCAAGCUUGCCUUCUGCACGGUUCAGUUCACCGUAGGUUGGUCGUGCCUCGUGGCCAGAGUGGAUGACCUGAUGACCUAUGGCAUCUGA
rnacentral:rRNA from 1 species